rnacentral:rRNA from 1 species
AACGAACGCUGGCGGCGUGCUUAACACAUGCAAGUCGAACGGGUUCAUAAUGAGUAGCAAUACUUGAUAUGAAUUAGUGGCGGACGGGUGAGUAACACGUAGGUAACCUACCCUUGAGCGGGGGACAACCCAGGGAAACUUGGGCUAAUACCCCAUAAGACCACGGGGUGUGAAUCUUGUGGUAAAAGUAGCGAUACGCUCAUGGACGGGCCUGCGGCCUAUCAGGUAGUUGGUGAGGUAACGGCCCACCAAGCCAAAGACGGGUAGCCGGGCUGAGAGGUUGAACGGCCACACUGGAACUGAGACACGGUCCAGACUCCUACGGGAGGCAGCAGUGGGGAAUAUUGCACAAUGGGGGAAACCCUGAUGCAGCGACGCCGCGUGGAGGAUGAAGGUCUUCGGGUUGUAAACUCCUUUUAUUGGGAAAGAUGAUGACGGUACCCAAUGAAUAAGCCACGGCUAACUCUGUGCCAGCAGCCGCGGUAAGACAGAGGUGGCGAGCGUUGUUCGGAAUUACUGGGCUUAAAGGGCGAGUAGGCGGUGGGACAAGUCUGAUGUGGAAUCUUAGGGCUUAACCCUAAAACUGCAUUAGAAACUG